rnacentral:tRNA from 1 species
GGUCGUUUAGCUCAGCCGGGAGAGCACCUCCCUUACAAGGAGGGGGUCACUGGUUCGAUCCCAGUAACGACCACCA